rnacentral:tRNA from 1 species
GCCGAAGUGGCGAAAUCGGUAGACGCAGUUGAUUCAAAAUCAACCGUAGAAAUACGUGCCGGUUCGACGUCGCCUUCGGCACCA